CCCCCCCCCCCCCCCCCCCCGCCGCCUGUUGAGGCUGCCCGCGUCUGCACCGGACGGCAGGAUUUAUUUCGUCCUAAACCGGGAAAAGCUAAACAUCAAAACAAUAACAGGCUGCUUAGGAGCUUUGUCCAUUAGAAUUUGCGAAAACGAAAGUUUGCAAACGAGAUCUGAACACUAGUAAUAGCUGUUGGCUCAUCUUCCUUGCAAAUUUCUUCAGUGUUUCAUGAAUGACCAGUGACCAGCUUUCUUCCCUCUAUCCUCAACACCUGCAGAAACCACCAUAUUCCUGUACAGCAUCAGUCCUAUCUACUGUCCUUGCUUCCAAAAGGAGCAUGCAAUUAUUCCUGAUCCUGAAGGCUUGGACUCACAGGACAGACUCUGG
rnacentral:lncRNA from 12 species